rnacentral:tRNA from 1 species
GGAUCGGUAGCUCAACGGUAGAGCAGGACCCUCUUAAGGUCAAGGUUGUGGGUUCGAUUCCCACCCGGUCCA